GGGCCCGUGGCGCAGGCUGGACAGCGCAUCGGCCUUCUAAGAUGGAGGCUAGGGUUGCUCCCAAGGCUUCCACCGGGGGAAGCCGGGGGUCGCGGGUUCAAAUCCCGCCGGGCCCG
rnacentral:tRNA from 1 species